GCUCCCGUAUCUCAACGGUAGAGAGGUGGUUUUAUAAGCGUACGAUGUCGGUUCGAGUCCGGCCGGGAGUACCA
rnacentral:tRNA from 1 species